UAUAUAUAGGAAACUGUUGUGAACACAUAGCCAGGUAUUUUUUUCCCAAAUUUGAUUCUUCAUUUUUUCUUUAACGCAAAAUUUGUCAAUAUUUUGAAAAUCUCAUUGCAACUUCCAGAUUCUCAAAAUUCUGUACUCCUAUAUCUAUCUAUCUGCAAUUCAUCCCCUCUUCCAUCGAAUUUCAUAACCCGCAAUUGAUCUUACCCAUAGAUCAAUCGACCAUGCUUCAAAUCCUUCGCGACCUUCCAAUCGUCCGCUUCUUCGCUACUCCUUUCUUGUUUCGAAAUUUCUCUAUUCUAACAAUGCUUUUGAGACUCACAACCCUAAAUUUCUGAAAAGCAUUGAAACCCUAAGUUCUGAAAGAGGUGACAGCGAUGGAAUUUGCUGGAGACGAAGGUACCACUGCGUAAUGUCAAAAAACCCUUUCCCGUUUAGAAAUCUAAUGUCUCCAAAACCCUUGAUUUUCCCCCAAAGUGCACGAGCACUAAAUUUCUGCAUCUUGUUUAAUUAAUCUCUGAAGCGUGUAAGUAAUGAAUAUAAAGAGCCUCCGUCUCAAGCUGAAAUGUCCAUUGCUACUCAACAAAGUAGGAAAGCAAAGGAGUUGGAUCAAGAAACCAACCAUGCACUUAAAUAGCAAGGAAAUGUUCACUGAUUUGGGGCAUGUGUCUGCACUAAUAUCUAGACAAUUCUAAUCCAGAAUUUAUCAUGAGACUCAAGUUAAUUCAAGUGAUAAGUAUUAUUAUAAGAAAU